AACUCAACCAGAACGCACGCACUUGCCAUUUUAAGCGCAAAACGUCUAUUUCAUAAGAAGAAUACAGAAAACACAAAUUGAUCCGAGCUCUGUCUCUGCAUUAGCUGUGAUUUUGGUAUUCCAUGCGUCAAAGCGAUGUGACCAGGACACCGGUAUAAAGACGGCACGCACGGGGAAGUCAUGCGUAAAGCUGGUGGAUACGGUUGGGUUAUUUAACCCUACGGUCCCUGAGUGGUCCCUCCAAAUUGUAAAUGAGAUGGAUUUUACAUUUUAGAGGAUAAAGCUUUUUUCUCAAGGAACAGGGGGAGCAGUGCAGUGCGUUGAGCUCUCGAGGCCAGCGUAAAUUAAUACACCAGGCUUCUGUGAUGUUACAGUAACGAAAACAGGCCUCCUCGCUACAUGUACAGUACUGCACUGUAGGCCUAAUGCAAAC